AUAUAAUUCUAUCUUAAAUGGUUCAAGUAAAUUUAGUUGUGGAUGGAUGAUUAUUUGACGAUCGAAGGCGUUUACAAAGCGUACCUAAGACGAACGAUUUCUUCGAGCGAGUGAAAGAAAGAUGAUUAAGGAAGAUCUUCAAAACCCAGUUGAAGGAGCUAAACAUGAAGUACCUUUUUCAAGCUUGGAAGAAAUGGUGUUUCUCACUCUCUUUUCUCUUCUAACUUUUUCGUUUUUAAGCUUUCGACUCUUGUUUUUAUGUUGAUUCUGUUUCUGUGUGUCUCUAAUUUUUGCUUGAAUUUCAUUUUCUUUGGUAAAUUAUACUCUGAAAUUUGCUUUCUGCUGAGUUCUUAGUUCUAGGGUUCUUCGAUGUAAUCGCUCUUUGCCGUUGCAGGGCUUUAUGAUUAGGAUUUUCCCUUAUUUAGGAUGCAUUUAGAUUUGAAAUUUGCUGCUUGUGGUGAUGGUUUCUGCCUUUCGGAGUGUUUUCUGUCGGUAUCUUUGGUUCCGCCGCUACUCCUCUGCAUCACAGGGGAGGAGUAAUGGCAAUAAUGCUUCAGGCCGUGAUUUCAGGUACAAGAUUCAGAUGUUCAUGGAGAAAGAAGUCUGAUUAUGUAAUAAGGAAUGAAGACGAGGGAUUGAUAGUUUCAAACUUAAGCUUUGGCCCGUAGAUUGAUCCUAGAACGAGGGUCCCAGUCAGCUUUGCCAUAUGAACGUUUCGAGUAUUAUGAUGUAGAUACGAACACAAUCCUAGUUACAUCGUUCCACUGAGUUUGAGAUGAAGAUGUACAAGACCAAGGACAACAUCUUUAUUAGUAUGUGAAAGCAUUGUUUUGAGCUUGAUUUGUUUUAAGAAUAUUGUGUUUCCAUGAAUGUAAGGAGAUUUGAUAGGUUGAACUUUCUCACCAACUCUUAGCUUCCACGAAAUGGGAAAAACCUAAAAGAAAGAAAGAGGAGACUUAGGGAA